rnacentral:rRNA from 1 species
AGUGAACGCUGGCGGUAGGCCUAACACAUGCAAGUCGAACGGCAGCACAGGAGAGCUUGCUCUCUGGGUGGCGAGUGGCGGACGGGUGAGGAAUACAUCGGAAUCUACUCUGUCGUGGGGGAUAACGUAGGGAAACUUACGCUAAUACCGCAUACGACCUACGGGUGAAAGCAGGGGACCUUCGGGCCUUGCGCGAUUGAAUGAGCCGAUGUCGGAUUAGCUAGUUGGUGGGGUAAAGGCUCACCAAGCCAACGAUCUGUAGCUGGUCUGAGAGGACGACCAGCCACGGUGGAGCUGGGACACGAGCGAGACUCCGACGGGAGGCAGCCGUGGGGAAUUUUGGACAAUGGACGCAAGUCUGAUCCGGCCAUUCCGCGUGCAGGAUGAAGGCCCUCGGGUUGUAAACUGCUUUUGUACGGAACGAAAAGGUCUCUCUUAAUACGGGGGACUCAUGACGGUACCGUAAGAAUAAGCACCGGCUAACUACGUGCCAGCCGCCGCGGUAA